GCUCAGAUCCUGAGAUUCUCAUAUACAAAUGCCAGAUGUUGUGGUAUGCACUUGUAAUUCAAGCCCUGGGGAGACUGAGACAGGAGGAUCCUUGGGGUUCACUGGUGAGUCUAGCCUAACUCGUGAGCUUCAGGUCCAUGAGAGAGCCGAUCCCAAAGGAGGUCGAUACUACCUGAGCGUCUCACUCGAACUACACCCCCAUCCCACACCCCACACAUAAUGCACACCCACAGACUAAGAGCAAGUGAAAUAAACGGUUUUCAAAGAUGCCUUUGUCUCGGAUCUGGCCUGGAGGCCACAGUCCAGCAGCCUCUGCUGUAACUCCACGCAAGCCCCACGCUUACAGCCAGCCUGUGGGCAGACGAGGAAAUGCUUACAAUUCCACAGCUGAAGAUGUCCACCUGCUUGGUCAGCUGCCCCACUCUGAUGAAGUGUUCCGGCAGAUAUGCAGCUGAGGCCUGGAACAGGUGAGUCCUCAUGACGGUAUAUUUGGUCUUUUUAUUGUCGGGAUGAGGGUGAGCCACAGGAUGAGCCAGCUUGGGGUUAAGAUGCUGGUCCAGCAAGACGUUGGCACUGCGGGAAAGCAAGUGAAGAGGUUGCCGUGGAGACACACUGGCCAAACAAUUUAGCACUGGGCAAGCGUCAGCCCUGGGAAUGGUGGAGUGGAGGCACUCACAGAAGACACUCAACAUGAAAUAGCCAGCCAUAAAUGGGUAGGACCUUGGAAACCCACUCACUCCAUUAAAUGGAAAUGGAGCUGAAAAUUGGCCUAGUUGCCCCAGGAAUAUGCAGGAAAUGCAGACUUCUACUCCCCACAGAUGCCAGCCCUGGCCGGCCCCACCGCUCAUCAGGUCAAGCCCACUGCUCAUUCUGGCCUAGACUCCUCUAAAGCUGUUCCCAUUACAAGCUCUGGCCUCUCUGGGGCCAACCCAGACACUGGCAUCCUUUAUAACCCAGUUACAUCCUUUGUAACUCAGUUUGCUCAGGUUGUAGGGAAGGGGAGCUUUUUUUUUUUAAUUUUUAAAGGGAGAAGUGAAAAUAUACUUUGAUCCAGUCAUAAUUGGAGGGAGAGAAAAUUCUCAGAGAGAGAAUUCCUUGGGGGAGGGGGUAUGCAUGCCACAUCUUGCCAGGGGAGCUCAGUGGGAAGUUUUGCAGGCUCUCUCCUUCCAUCAUUUAGAUUCAAGGGAUCAAACUCAGGCCAUCAGGCCUGGCAGCGAGCAUUUUCACCCGCUGAGCCAUCUCACUGGUCCACCGAGCAGUAUUUGAAAAAGAAGACACCAGGCCAGGCACAGUGGCAGCUCACCUAUAAUCCCCAGCACUUGGGAAACUAAGAUAGAGCUGCUGGAAGUUCGAGGCCAGUGUAGGCUACGUAGUGAGCUUCAGGUCAGCCUGGGCUACACUGGUAAGUUAGAGGCCAGUUCUGCUCGACAGCAAGACUUUGUCUCAAUAAACAAACAAAAAAAAAGUUUAAAAAAUCUUUUUAAUAAUAGCCAGCAACUCCAAUAUCUACUAUUAGGAGUAUCUAAAUAAGUGUGAGCAAGCCGCUUCACCGCAAGGUUAAGAAAUCACAACAAGCCGUGAAACCUUGCAACAUGGGGAGGCAGAGGAGGAACUGAGAGCCGUGAAACCAUCCAGUCUUAGGGGUGAGGAUUUGCGUGGGAGGACGACGCAGCUGGAUGGUGGAGCACGCCCAGGGUGAUGGGGCCAUCAAAUGCAAGUCAGGAGGGGAAAGAAGAAAGGGCUUUUGAGCUGGCUUGUACCACAGGAGAGGGAACCUUGAGGAACCACAAGACCUCUAUGGUCGUGCAGCUGGUUCUGCUAAAUGCCUUGGACUCUUGGAAUCUCUCCCGUGAUGGCAGUUCUCUAGUUCUUGGAAACCUGACACUAAGAUGCGGGGGAUAGGAAACCUGGAAAACUCCCUGACAAGGUCUAUCGCUAACCGACAAGCAAGGCAGGCACUGAGCAAAGUUCAAAUGGGGAGCUCAAAUCCCAAGGCUGGGCACAGCUCCCAGAUGGAGUGCAAGCCGGCUCACUCCUGAGUAGAUGGUCAAAUGUUUAGGGUGCUGUGGCCUGCAGGGAAACUAAUCCAGAAAGGCCACAGAUAAAGUGACAGCUUCAUACCUCAGAAAUACUGGAUUUUGAGGAUAUGAAGAGAGAGCUAAGGUCCCCAAGGGAGGGGAGAUAGAGGAGAAGAAGGGGGAAGGGGAGGGGAGAGACAGACAGACAGCAAGAACAGGAGCUGUCCUGGUUCUCAAAGCCAGACCUGGGGAGCAAGCCCAGCUCAUGCUGCCCUCUCACCUCUUUUUUCUUUUCUCUCUUUUUUAAAAAAAGAUUUAUUUAUUAUUUAUUUAUUUAAUGUAUCCACCAUUGCUCUCUUCAGACACCCCAGAAGAGGGCAUCAGACCCACCAUUGCAUGGUGGGUUGUGAGCCACCACGUGGUUGCUGUGAACUGAACUCAGGACCUCUGGAAGAGCAGUCAGUGCUCUU
rnacentral:lncRNA from 1 species